AGGCUGCAACUCGCCUGCAUGAAGUUGGAAUUGCUAGUAAUCGCGAAUCAGAAUGUCGCGGUGAAUACGUUCCCGGGCCUUGUACACACCGCCCGUCACACCAUGAGAGUCGAUAACACCCGAAGCCUGUGAGCUAACCGCAAGGGGCAGCAGUCGAAGGUGGGGUUGAUGAUUGGGGUGAAGUCGUAACAAGGUACC
rnacentral:rRNA from 1 species